GGCUUCAUGGUCGAGUGGAAAUGACACUUGCCUCUCACCCUGUAGUCCCGGGUUCGAUCCCAGGUCGAGAAGCUA